rnacentral:rRNA from 1 species
GUCUACGGCCAUGCCACCCUGAACAAGCCCGAUCCCAUCUGAUCUCGGAAGCUAAGCAGAGUCAGGCCUGGUUAGUAUUUGGAUGAGAGAACACCUAGGAAGACCUGGUGCUGUAGGUG